rnacentral:rRNA from 1 species
UAGGGAAUAUUGCAAAAUGGGCGAAAGCCCGAUGCAGCAACGCCGCGUGGGCGAUGAAGGCCUUCGGGUCGUAAAGCCCUUUUUGAGGGGAUGAGGAAGGACAGUACCCUCAGAAUAAGCCUCGGCUAACUUCGUGCCAGCAGCCGCGGUAAAACGUAGGAGGCGAGCGUUAUCCGGAUUUACUGGGCGUAAAGCGCGUGCAGGCGGAUUGGAGAGUUGGAUGUGAAAGCUCCCGGCUUAACUGGGAGAGGUCGUUCAAUACUUCCAGUCUUGAGUGCAGUAGAGGGAAGUGGAAUUCCGGGUGUAGUGGUGAAAUGCGUAGAUAUCCGGAGGAACACCAGUGGCGAAAGCGGCUUCCUGGACUGUAACUGACGCUCAGACGCGAAAGCUAGGGUAGCAAACG